rnacentral:rRNA from 1 species
UAGGGAAUCUUCGGCAAUGGACGGAAGUCUGACCGAGCAACGCCGCGUGAGUGAAGAAGGUUUUCGGAUCGUAAAGCUCUGUUGUAAGAGAAGAACGAGUGUGAGAGUGGAAAGUUCACACUGUGACGGUAUCUUACCAGAAAGGGACGGCUAACUACGUGCCAGCAGCCGCGGUAAUACGUAGGUCCCGAGCGUUGUCCGGAUUUAUUGGGCGUAAAGCGAGCGCAGGCGGUUAGAUAAGUCUGAAGUUAAAGGCUGUGGCUUAACCAUAGUACGCUUUGGAAACUGUUUAACUUGAGUGCAAGAGGGGAGAGUGGAAUUCCAUGUGUAGCGGUGAAAUGCGUAGAUAUAUGGAGGAACACCGGUGGCGAAAGCGGCUCUCUGGCUUGUAACUGACGCUGAGGCUCGAAAGCGUGGGGAGCAAACAGGAUUAGAUACCCUGGUAGUCCACGCCGUANNGAUGAGUGCUAGGUGUUAGACCCUUUCCGGGGUUUAGUGNCGUANCUNACGCANUAANCACUCCGCCUGGGGAGUACNACCGCNAGGNU